rnacentral:rRNA from 1 species
UACGGAGGGUGCGAGCGUUGUCCGGAAUCACUGGGCGUAAAGGGCGCGUAGGCGGCGCGGUAAGCGUGCGGUGAAAGCCCUCGGCUCAACCGAGGAAUUGCGCUCUAAACUGCUGUGCUUGAGGACCUAGAGGUGAGCAGAACUGAUGGUGGAGCGGUGAAAUGCGUUGAUAUCAUCAGGAAUACCGGAGACGAAGGCGGCUCACUGGGGGUUUUCUGACGCUGAGGAACGAAAGCCAGGGGAG